AUUGAACGCUGGCGGCAUGCCUUACACAUGCAAGUCGAACGGCAGCACGGGAGCAAUCCUGGUGGCGAGUGGCGAACGGGUGAGUAAUAUAUCGGAACGUGCCCGGUCGUGGGGGAUAACGUAGCGAAAGCUACGCUAAUACCGCAUACGAUCUACGGAUGAAAGCGGGGGAUCGCAAGACCUCGCGCGAUUGGAGCGGCCGAUAUCAGAUUAGGUAGUUGGUGAGGUAAAGGCUCACCAAGCCGACGAUCUGUAGCUGGUCUGAGAGGACGACCAGCCACACUGGGACUGAGACACGGCCCAGACUCCUACGGGAGGCAGCAGUGGGAAUUUUGGACAAUGGGCGCAAGCCUGAUCCAGCAAUGCCGCGUGCAGGAUGAAGGCCUUCGG
rnacentral:rRNA from 1 species